GACGAACGCUGGCGGCGUGCCUAAUACAUGCAAGUCGAACGCAGUGGGGACGGGUGAGUAACACGUGGGUAACCUCCCAUCAGCGGGGAUAACACUUGGAAACAGGUGCUAAACCGCUACUGAUGGAUGGACCCGCGGUGCAUCAGAUAGUUGGUGGGGUAACGGCUCACCAAGGCCACGAUGCAUAGCCGACCUGGGAGGGUGAUCGGCCACACUGGGACUGAGACACGGCCCAGACUCCUACGGGAGGCAGCAGUGGGGAAUAUUGCACAAUGGGCGCAAGCCUGAUGCAGCCAUGCCGCGUGUAUGAAGAAGGCCUUCGGGUUGUAAAGUACUUUCAGCGGGGAGGCGUUACCCGCAGAAGAAGCACCGGCUAACUCCGUGCCAGCAGCCGCGGUAAUUC
rnacentral:rRNA from 1 species